rnacentral:tRNA from 1 species
GGCCCCAUCGUCUAGUGGCCUAGGACGCGGCCCUCUCAAGGCCGAAACACGGGUUCGAGUCCCGUUGGGGCCACCA